rnacentral:lncRNA from 1 species
UGAGUGAUGCUUAUGAAUGUUUUGUUAUGCAUGAAGGGAUCCAUGCUUUUGAUAUGUGAACCAUAUUGGUUGUAACACUUAGUAUCACAUACUUUGUGCCAAAGUACGCAUGUUGAAGCUCUGAGUUGGAGUAUAAGGGUAGGUUAACAUAGACCAAGUGUUCCAGUGCUAGGAACGCAAAAGACUCAGAAGAAGUUGUCUGAAUUCCCUCUUCUUUAACUAUUUUGCCGAAUGGCUUGUGUGACAAAAGAUCUCAAGCGGUUGAGAGUCAAAACAUUUGUAAUAUGUAUGCCUUCUUAUAAUAGCAUUUCCUUCAGUACCUAGUCCUCCACUUUGAAAGAGUGAGGCUUGGCCCCAUAGUCAUAAUAGUUUACGGUACGUUCACCCCUGGUCGUCUUGAUACGAACUUUUAUCCCUCUUAUUGUAAUGGGCUUGUUGAGAGUAAAAAACCUUCCUCUUACCAAGAGAUAGAUACGUUUGGUGACUUAGCGAGUAGCUAAAUGGGGUAGGAGAUGAUGCAAUGGGUGUCUGAAUGGCCAAUAUCUCCUCACUUGGUAGAACUCGACUUCCACUUCCCAUUUGUUGAUAGGGGUUAACCAUAUGGGGGUUCCCUUGGUAUGUCUUUGCUUCGGCGGAGGCGUGGUUGUAAGUCUGUGCCAUCACCUCCGAGUAAGUCUUCCAAGUGUUGGCAUUGAUCAUGUACAUGAAGAAACAAUCACGUAGGCUUGCUGUGAAGGCCUUAAGGGCGGUCUUGUCAUCUGCCUCAGCGCAGUGAGAAUACUCAUUGCUGAAGCGACCGGCAUACUCUCGUAGUGACUCGUCCGGCUUCUGGCGAAUAGUGUACAAGUUAUCUGCAGAAUGCAAGUGAUCGGUCUGGAAGAUGUGUUAAGAGACAAACAGUUUCCUCAAUUCCUCAAAUGAGUUUACUGUCUCAGGUGGAACAUGGAAAUACCAAUUUAGAGCUUCGCCAGAGAGGGUGGAGGGGAAGAGAAGACAUCGCUCUUCGUCGGUGUGCAUUUGAUAUGCCAUGGUGGACUCGAAGAGGAUAAGGUGUUCAAUUGGGUCCUCCCUUCCAAUAUAGAGUUGUAAACCAAGCUUUUGUUUUGUCUUCGCUUGAAGGGGGUGUCGAGGAUCCUUCUUGUGAGAGGGCCAGGCCUGGGUUGGUUCCAGUUAGGUAUCCCGACCUGACGUUCGG